ACACUCCUACGGGAGGCAGCAGUGGGGAAUAUUGCACAAUGGGCGCAAGCCUGAUGCAGCCAUGCCGCGUGUAUGAAGAAGGCCUUCGGGUUGUAAAGUACUUUCAGCGGGGAGGAAGGCGAUAAGGUUAAUAACCUUGUCGAUUGACGUUACCCGCAGAAGAAGCACCGGCUAACUCCGUGCCAGCAGCCGCGGUAAUACGGAGGGUGCAAGCGUUAAUCGGAAUUACUGGGCGUAAAGCGCACGCAGGCGGUCUGUCAAGUCGGAUGUGAAAUCCCCAGGCUCAACCUGGGAACUGCAUUCGAAACUGGCAGGCUAGAGUCUGGUAGAGGGGGGUAGAAUUCCAGGUGUAGCGGUGAAAUGCGUAGAGAUCUGGAGGAAUACCGGUGGCGAAGGCGGCCCCCUGGACAAAGACUGACGCUCAGGUGCGAAAGCGUGGGGAGCAAACAGGAUUAGAAACCCGUGUAGUCCCAUGAU
rnacentral:rRNA from 1 species